UCAUAGAGUCGCCUCAGCAGAUGGACCA
rnacentral:sRNA from 1 species